rnacentral:lncRNA from 1 species
GAGCACGGAGACGUUUGGUAAUAACCGGUCAAGCCGGUGUGCGAUCAACACAUACAUCAAGUCAACACCAUAACAUGCUAUAUCGUUUUGAGCCUACACCAGAUUUCACGGUCAUUACCAGUCGCAUCCUUGCUCACCUACAAAAACAAAUGACAUAUCAGAGACUCAAUCAAGUGAAGAAAAGGAAUGCAAGUAAAUCACAAUUCCAAUACCAAAGAUAUAUCAGUUCACAGGACAAACAAUAUCAGAGUACACUAAUGUAACUAAACAAACUACAUUAGUCUUGUCUUAACUUCGCAAUUUCACAAUUUCAAACCACAAUUAAAGAUGAAGCAAACCGAGACAGAGACAAUUGAAACUAGACAUCAAACAAAACUGUUAAAUGAAGAGUUUUAUACCAAGACAGAACGAUAUGUAAUAAAGUUCAAACUAAUAAUCAAGUAAUAAAAGUUCACUUCAUAGACAGAACAUCAUACUUAGCAGUUAACAACAUCAAACAACAAACGAAAAGCUGAGAACCAGGAAGAAGGGACAA